AUUCUAUUCCCUCAAGUUCUUGCUGACUAUGAGAAGGCCCCGGUGUACAAGCCUCCCAUUGAGAAGCCACCACUUUACAAGCCCCCAAUUGAGAAACCUCCUGUUUAUAAACCUCCAGUUGAGAAACCCCCCAUUUAUAAGCCCCCAGUAGAGAAGCCACCAGUGUACAAGCCUCCAGUAGAGAAACCCCCAGUUUACAAGCCCCCAGUUGAAAAACCACCAGUUGAGAAACCCCCAGUAGAGAAGCCUCCAGUUUACAAGCCCCCAGUUGAAAAACCACCAGUGUACAAGCCACCAGUUGAGAACCCUCCAAUUUACAAACCCCCAGUUGAAAAACCACCAGUAUACAAGCCCCCAAUUGAGAAACCUCCAGUUUAUAAGCCACCAGUAGAGAAGCCACCGGUUGAGAAGCCUCCAGUCUACAAGCCACCAUAUGGAAAGCCACCAUACCCAAAGUACCCUCC
rnacentral:lncRNA from 1 species